rnacentral:rRNA from 1 species
AAUAUUUGAAAAUGGGGACAACCCUGAUCCAGCCAUGCCGCGUGUGUGAAGAAGGUCAUAGGAAUGUACAGCACUUUAAGUUGGGAGGAAGGGCUUUAGGUUAAUACCCUGAAGUUUUGACGUUACCAACAGAAUAAGCACCGGCUAACUCUGUUCCAGCAUCCGCGGUAAUACAGAGGGUGCAAGCGUUAAUCGGAAUUACUGGGCGUAAAGCGCGCGUAGGUGGUUCAGUAAGAUGGGUGUGAAAACCCCGGGCUUAACCUGGGAACUGCUUUCAUAACUGCUGAGCUAGAGUACGGUAGAGGGUAGUGGAAUUUCCUGUGUAGCGGUGAAAUGCGUAGAUAUAGGAAGGAACACCAGUGGCGAAGGCGACUACCUGGACUGAUACUGACACUGAGGUGCGAAAGCGUGGGGAGCAAACAGG